UGCAGUCGUACGAGAGUUUUUACUCAAGUGGCGGACGGGUGAGUAACACGUAAGAAUUUGCCUUUAGGAGGGGGAUAACAACUGGAAACGGUUGCUAAUACCCCAUAUGCUUUCGAGUGAAAUGGUUUUUCCGCCUAAAGAGAAGCUUGCGGCUGAUUAGCUUGUUGGGGAGGUAAUGGCUCACCAAGGCGACGAUCAGUAUCUGGUUUGAGAGGACGAUCAGACACACUGGAACUGAGACACGGUCCAGACUCCUACGGGAGGCAGCAGUGGGGAAUUUUCCGCAAUGGGCGAAAGCCUGACGGAGCAAUACCGCGUGAGGGAGGAAGGCUCUUGGGUUGUAAACCUCAAAACUUAGGGAAGAAAAAAAUGACGGUACCUAAUUUAAGCAUCGGCUAACUCCGUGCCAGCAGCCGCGGUAAUACG
rnacentral:rRNA from 1 species